UACGUAGGCAGCGAGCGUUGUUCGGAGUUACUGGGCGUAAAGGGGGUGUAGGCGGUUGUUUAAGGUUGGUGUGAAAUCUCCCGGCUCAACUGGGAGGGUGCGCCGAAUACUGAAUGACUUCGAGUGCGGGAGAGGAAAGUGGAAUUCCGCGUGUAGUGGUGAAAUGCGUAGAGAUGCGGAGGAACACCAGUGGCGAAAGCGACUUUCUGGUCCUUAACUGACGCUGAGGCGCGAAAGCAUGGGGAGCGAACGGG
rnacentral:rRNA from 1 species